AGUGAACGCUGGCGGUAGGCCUAACACAUGCAAGUCGAACGGCAGCACAGUAAGAGCUUGCUCUUACGGGUGGCGAGUGGCGGACGGGUGAGGAAUACAUCGGAAUCUACUUUUUCGUGGGGGAUAAUGUAGGGAAACUUACGCUAAUACCGCAUACGACCUACGGGUGAAAGCAGGGGAUCUUCGGACCUUGCGCGAUUGAAUGAGCCGAUGUCGGAUUAGCUAGUUGGCGGGGUAAAGGCCCACCAAGGCGACGAUCCGUAGCUGGUCUGAGAGGAUGAUCAGCCACACUGGACCUGAGACACGGUCCAGACUCCUACGGGAGGCGGCAGUGGGGAAUAUUGGACAAUGGGCGCAAGCCUGAUCCAGCCAUCCCGCGUGGGUGAAGAAGGCCUUCGGGUUGUAAAGCCCUUUUGUUGGGAAAGAAAAGCAGCAGGUUAAUACCCCGCUGUUCUGACGGUACCCAAAGAAUAAGCACCGGCUAACUUCGUG
rnacentral:rRNA from 1 species